GAUGAAGAACGCAGCGAAAUGCGAUACGUAAUGUGAAUUGCAGAAUCCAGUGAAUCAUCGAAUCUUUGAACGCACAUUGCGCCCGCCAGUAUUCUGGCGGGCAUGCCUGUUCGAGCGUCAUUUCAACCCUCAAGCCCCCGGGCUUGGUGUUGGGGAUCGGCGUGCCCUCGCGGCGCGCCGUCCCCUAAAUCUAGUGGCGGUCUCGCUGUAGCUUCCUCUGCGUAGUAGCAACACUCGCACUGGAUCGCAGCGCGGCCACGCCGUUAAACCCCCCACUUCUGAAAGUUUGACCUCGGAUCAGGUAGGAAUACCCGCUGAACUUAAGCAUAUCAAUAAGCGGAGGA
rnacentral:misc_RNA from 1 species